GAUGAACGCUAGCGGCAGGCUUAACACAUGCAAGUCGAACGCCCCGCAAGGGGAGUGGCGCACGGGUGAGUAACGCGUGGGAAUAUGCCCUUCGGUUCGGAAUAACACAGGGAAACUUGUGCUAAUACCGGAUACGAUCUACGGAUGAAAGAUUUAUCGCCGAGGGAGUAGCCCGCGUAGGAUUAGCUAGUUGGUGAGGUAAUGGCUCACCAAGGCGACGAUCCUUAGCUGGUCUGAGAGGAUGAUCAGCCACACUGGGACUGAGACACGGCCCAGACUCCUACGGGAGGCAGCAGUGGGGAAUAUUGGACAAUGGGGGAAACCCUGAUCCAGCCAUGCCGCGUGAGUGAUGAAGGCCUUAGGGUUGUAAAGCUCUUUCGCCAGGGAAGAUAAUGACGGUACCUGGAAAAGAAGCCUCGGCUAACUCCAUGCCAGCAGCCGCCGUAAUAC
rnacentral:rRNA from 1 species